rnacentral:rRNA from 1 species
CCUACGGGAGGCUGCAGUGAGGAAUAUUGGUCAAUGGACGAGAGUCUGAACCAGCCAAGUAGCGUGAAGGAUGACUGCCCUAUGGGUUGUAAACUUCUUUUAUAUGGGAAUAAAAUGUUCCACGUGUGGGAUUUUGUAUGUACCAUAUGAAUAAGGAUCGGCUAACUCCGUGCCAGCAGCCGCGGUAAUACGGAGGAUGCGAGCGUUAUCCGGAUUUAUUGGGUUUAAAGGGAGCGUAGGUGGAUUGUUAAGUCAGGUGUGAAAGUUUGCGGCUCAACCGUAAAAUUGCAGUUGAAACUGGCAGUCUUGAGUACAGUAGAGGUGGGCGGAAUUCGUGGUGUAGCGGUGAAAUGCUUAGAUAUCACGAAGAACUCCGAUUGCGAAGGCAGUUCACUGGACUGCAACUGACACUGAGGCUCGAAAGUGUGGGUAUCAAACAGGAUUAGAUACCCCAGUAGUC